rnacentral:rRNA from 1 species
CCUUUGACGUUAGCGGCGGACGGGUGAGUAACACGUGGGUAACCUACCUAUAAGACUGGGAUAACUUCGGGAAACCGGAGCUAAUACCGGAUAAUAUUUCGAACCGCAUGGUUCGAUAGUGAAAGAUGGUUUUGCUAUCACUUAUAGAUGGACCCGCGCCGUAUUAGCUAGUUGGUAAGGUAACGGCUUACCAAGGCGACGAUACGUAGCCGACCUGAGAGGGUGAUCGGCCAC